GCCGCUAUAGCUCAGUUGGUAGAGCAAUUCAUUCGUAAUGAAUAGGUCGCCGGUUCGAGUCCGGCUAUCGGCU
rnacentral:tRNA from 1 species